AUACCAAUCCUUCUGUGGUGAGUUCUGGAAUGUACGCAGUACCUCGAGUACUUUCACUUUCCCGUGAGGCUCCGUUAUCCCAGUUAGCGCGUGAUGCGCCUGACGUUCGGUAACUCGAUGAUAUGGAGGUGGGUAACUAGAGAGGUGUGUUGAAGAAGCUUCGCAUUGGUUAAUACCCGAUCAUCUCUCACAGUCUCACCCAAACCCGUAAACCAUCGAUGAAAUUCCCCCAACUUGGGAUUUGUCCCGCACCGGCCUCACCCUCAGCAAAGGUUUGAGGUUCAGCUAGGAGAUUACAAAGCAACAGGAGUGAUGGGAAGGAGACACCUCAUCGUCGUCUUUUUUAUUUGAAAGUAGCUAACAUCGAAGAAAGAAUGUGACUCAGAAACACACCAUCAUCUACUGAAUUGAAGUUUCUGAGUCGAUUUCAGGUGUUGUUGGUGCUUGGUGCAGCAGGAGGUGUUGGACUUGCGGCGGUACAGAUUGGGAAGGUUGUUGGAGCCGUUGUCAUUGCGGUAGCCAGGUUUCUGCCCUAAAUGAGGCAGUUCUGGGCAGCGUCAAGUCUAUGUUCAAAGCUCGGGAGGAACCGCUGAAUACAUCUUCGGAAAGAAGUGUGGUGAUGUUUCUGAUAUUCCAGAGUUGACUUAAAUCAGAGUUCAUUACCCAGUUAUGCUUGCUUUGUGGACUGAGUGCCUCACUUUUGCUUUAUUGAGCAUUAGAUUGUGCUCAGUACGUAUUUGUUUGGAAUGGUGGCUUUUUGUUAAUAUAGUGGUAUGAAGUAGAAAGUCCACUCUGAUCUGGGUACAUCUGAUGUAAAUUUUGAUACCAUGUGAUGGACAGCUUUGUAAAUAAAAUGCAAUCAGUUGCAUGUGUAUAUAAAGGAUCGUUUUC